CUCCAGCAGAGCUCGCUUUUCUACAUUUUUCCUGAGUCCCCAAGAGAAGAGAAAAAUCAGCCUAAGACACAUAGGAACCUAGCACACCGUCUGAGUUGGGGAUCCUAAACUAGACCAACAAAACACCUCCACCAACCGCACAGACUAAAAAGUGAGUUAAAUGUCAAGAAUGGCCUGCUCACCUCAGCAUCUGGCUCAAUGAGUCAAAGAGGCAAUUCAGAACAGCCAUGAGCAUCAGCUGUUGGGAGACAGGAGAAGCAGAAGGAUAAGGUUCAAGGCCCUGAAAGCUGCUACCUGAAAACAAAACCUGCCAAUUCAUUAAGCAU